rnacentral:rRNA from 1 species
GACGAAGGUGGCAAGCGUUGUUCGGUAUUACUGGGCUUAAAGCGUGUGUAGGCGGAAAAUUAAGCGUUGUGUGAAAUCCCCCGGCUUAACCGGGGAACUGCAUAACGAACUGGUUUUCUUGAGGCAAGUAGGGGUGCAUGGAACUCUUGGUGGAGCGGUGGAAUGCGUAGAUAUCAAGAGGAACGCCAGCGGAGAAAUCGGUGCACUGGGCUUGUCCUGACGCUGAGACACGAAAGCGUGGGUAGCGAACGGGAUUAGAUACCCCCGUA